rnacentral:rRNA from 1 species
CCUACGUGGGGCAGCAGUGAGGAAUAUUGGUCAAUGGCCGGAAGUCUGAACCAGCCAAGUCGCGUGAGGGACGACUGCCCUAUGGGUUGUAAACUUCUUUUAUAAGGGAAUAACAAAUGCCACGUGUUGCAUGAUGCCUGUACCUUAUGAAUAAGCAUCGGCUAACUCCGUGCCAGCAGCCGCGGUAAUACGGAGGAUGCGAGCGUUAUCCGGAUUUAUUGGGUUUAAAGGGUGCGUAGGGGGUUUUUUAAGUUAGUGGUUAAAUGUCUGGGCUCCACCUUGAUUUUCAAUUAAUACUGGAAGACUCGAGUUCAGUCGAGGUAGGCGGAAUACGUGGAGUAGCGGUGAAAUGCUUAGAUAUAACUAAGAACUCCGAUAGCGAAGGCAGCUUACCGGACUGCAACUGACACUGAGGCACGAAAGCGUGGGUAGCAAACAGGAUUAGAUACCCUGGUAGUC